UACGUAGGGGGCAAGCGUUGUCCGGAUUUAUUGGGCGUAAAGGGCUCGUAGGUGGUUCGUUAAGUCGGAUGUGAAAUCUCCAGGCUCAACCUGGAGCUUGCAUUCGAUACUGGCGUGACUUGAGUACGGUAGGGGAUCACGGAAUUCCUGGUGUAGCGGUGAAAUGCACAGAUAUCAGGAGGAACACCGGUGGCGAAGGCGGUGAUCUGGGCCGUAACUGACGCUGAUGAGCGAAAGCGUGGGUAGCAAACAGG
rnacentral:rRNA from 1 species